GUCGUAACAAGGUUUUCGUAGGUGAACCUGCGGAAGG
rnacentral:rRNA from 1 species